GGUAGCAUAGGCCUUUGUUUUUUAAUUGAAAACUAGAAUGAAAGGCUUACCGUUAAAAUAAUGUAUUUAUACUAUUGAUCCAAAUUUUAUUAAAUAUAAAAAUAUAUUUAUAUAAAAAAUAGACGAUAAGACCCUAUUGAACUUAACUCAUGUUAAGCUGGGGCAGCUUUCUAGUAAUAAUUUUAGAAUAAAUUUUAUAUUAAAUAAUCCGAUAUAAUCGAAUUAAUCAAGUUACCAUAGGGAUAACAGCGUAAUAUUAUUUUAAAGUUCUUAUUAAAAAUAAUGUUUGCGACCUCGAUGUUGAAUUAUUUAUCUUUUUAAACGCAAUAGUUAGAAAAGUAGGUCUGUUCGACCUUUAAUAUUAUACAUGAUUUGAGUUCAAACCGGUGUAAACCAGGUUGGUUUCUAUCUUUUUAAAUAUUUUUCUAGUACGAAAGGACAAAAAAAUAAAUUAUUAAUAUUAUAUUAGCAAAUAAAUGCAUUAGAAUUAGAAUCUAAAAAU
rnacentral:rRNA from 1 species